UUCCGUAGGGGGAACCUGCGGAGGGAUCAUUACCGAGUUUACAACUCCCAAACCCCUGUGAACAUACCUAUACGUUGCCUCGGCGGAUCAGCCCGCGCCCCGUAAAACGGGACGGCCCGCCCGAGGACCCCUAAACUCUGUUUUUAGUGGAACUUCUGAGUAAAACAAACAAAUAAAUCAAAACUUUCAACAACGGAUCUCUUGGUUCUGGCAUCGAUGAAGAACGCAGCAAAAUGCGAUAAGUAAUGUGAAUUGCAGAAUUCAGUGAAUCAUCGAAUCUUUGAACGCACAUUGCGCCCGCCAGUAUUCUGGCGGGCAUGCCUGUUCGAGCGUCAUUUCAACCCUCAAGCUCAGCUUGGUGUUGGGACUCGCGGUAACCCGCGUUCCCCAAAUCGAUUGGCGGUCACGUCGAGCUUCCAUAGCGUAGUAAUCAUACACCUCGUUACUGGUAAUCGUCGCGGCCACGCCGUUAAACCCCAACUUCUGAAUGUUGACCUCGGAUCAGGUAGGAAUACCCGCUGAACUUAAGCAUAUCAAUAGCCGGGAGGAA
rnacentral:rRNA from 1 species